GACGUAGGAGGCGAGCGUUGUCCGGAUUCAUUGGGCGUAAAGAGCGCGCAGGCGGCUUGGUAAGUCGGAUGUGAAAACCCGAGGCUCAACCUCGGGCGUGCAUCCGAAACUGCUCGGCUAGAGGUAGGUAGGGGAGAUCGGAAUUCCUGGUGUAGCGGUGAAAUGCGCAGAUAUCAGGAGGAACACCGGUGGCGAAGGCAGCUCGCUGGGACGGUACUGACGCUGAGGCGCGAAAGCGUGGGGAGCAAACAGG
rnacentral:rRNA from 1 species